AGUUAAGUGAACAAGGGCAUACGGCGGAUGCCUUGGCGCCAAGAGCCGAUGAAGGACGCGGUAAGCUGCGAAAAGGUAUGGUAAGGAGCAAGCAUCCUGUGACCCAUACAUUUCCGAAUGGGGCAACCCGUCAUCAGUAAUGUGAUGACACGAAAGAGGCAUACCCGGGGAACUGAAACAUCUAAGUACCCGGAGGAAAAGUAAUCAAAAGAGAUUCCCUAAGUAGCGGCGAGCGAAAAGGGAAGAGCCCAAACCAGACAACUUCGGUUGUCUGGGGUUGAGGACCGGCAGAAAGAGGAAAGUUCUUAGCCGAAUGGUUUGGAAAGGCCAUGCGUAGAAGGUAAAACACCUGUAGGCGAAAAGGACUUAAAUUGGGCCGGAAUCCAGAGUACUACGAGACACGUGAAACCUUGUAGGAAGCAGGGGGGACCACCCUCCAAGGCAAAAUACUAAUUGGCGACCGAUAGUGGAAAGUACCGUGAGGGAAAGGUGAAAAGAACCCCGGGAGGGGAGUGAAAUAGAACCUGAAACCGUAUGUCUACAAG
rnacentral:rRNA from 1 species